rnacentral:rRNA from 1 species
AAGAGAGAGACAUGCGCGCAUAUCAAUAAGCGGAGGAAAAGAAACUAACAAGGAUUCCCCUAGUAACGGCGAGUGAAGCGGGAAGAGCUCAAAUUUGAAAGUCUUAAAGGGUUUCCCUUUACGAAUUGUAGUUUAAAGAAGUGUUUUCUGUUGAGGUUUUGGUAAAAGUUCUUGGAAUAGGACAUCAUAGAGGGUGAGAAUCCCGUAUUUGACCUUUACUUUCAACUUUGUGAUACACUUUCAAAGAGUCGGAUUGUUUGGGAAUGCAGUCCAAAAUGGGUGGUAAAUUUCAUCUAAAGCUAAAUAUUGGCGAGAGACCGAUAGCGAACAAGUACCGUGAGGGAAGAUGAAAAGAACUUUGAAAAGAGAGUUAAACAGUACGUGAAAUUGUCAAAAGGGAAGCGUUUGACACCAGUGUUGUUUUUCUGAAAAUCAAUUAAAGAACUGUUUAUGCUAAGUUGUUUAGACUUUAUCAGCUAUCUGUUUAGUUUUGAGCUUUUCUUUAAUGCACUUUUCAGUUAACAAGUCAACAUCAACUUCUUUUGCUGUAAAAAAGCUUGAGGAAGGUGGCUUGAGAUUCGUCUUAAGUGUUUAUAGCCUCUUGCCUAUGCAGUCGGAGAGAUUGAGGUCUGCAGCGUAGAUCCUUCGGGGCUAAAUGCAUUUGUGCUAAGUUAUAGCAUUUUAUAGACAACUUGUUGACUAUGAUUUGUCUUGUAGCUUACUCGCUAUGUCAUUCUACCUACGCUUAGGAUGUUGACGCAUGAGAUAUACGC